GGGCACAUGGUGUAGUUGGUUAUCACGCUCGCUUAGCAUAUCAAGCGAUUGCGAGAGGUGUUGGGUUCAAUUCCCAAUGUGUCCA